rnacentral:rRNA from 1 species
UACGGAGGGGGCGAGCGUUAUUCGGAAUUAUUGGGCGUAAAGGGCGCGUAGGCGGCUGUACAAGUCAAAGGUGAAAUCCCUCGGCUCAACUGAGGAACUGCCUUUGAAACUGUACGGCUUGAGGCCGGGAGGGGGUAGCGGAAUUCCCAGUGUAGCGGUGAAAUGCGUAGAUACUGGGAGGAACACCAGUGGCGAAGGCAGCACUCUGGGACGUGACUGACGCUGAGACGCGAAAGCGUGGGGAGCAAACAGG